GCUGGGUAUGGUGGUUCAUGCCUGUAAUACCAGAGGCUCUGGAGGUUGAGGCAGGAGGAUCUCAAGUUUGAGGCUAGCCUUGCCAACUUAGCAAGGCCCUAAGCAACUUAGUGAGACCCUGUCUCAA
rnacentral:sRNA from 1 species